rnacentral:rRNA from 1 species
CCUACGGGUGGCAGCAGUGGGGAAUAUUGCUCAAUGGGGGAAACCCUGAUGCAGCAACGCCGCGUGCGUGAAGAAGUAUUUCGGUAUGUAAAGCUCUAUCAGCAGGGAAGCCGAAAGACGGUACCUGACUAAGAAGCCCCGUCUAACUACGUGCCAGCAGCCGCGGUAAUACGGAGGGGGCCAGCGUUAUCCGGAUUUCAUGGGUGUAAAGGGAGCGUAGACGGGUGUGCAAGUCUGAAGUGAAACCCCGUGGGUCAACCGCGGAACGGCUUUGGAAACUGGAUAGCUUGAGUACUGGAGAGGCAGGCGGAAUUCCUAGUGUAGCGGUGAAAUGCGUAGAUAUUAGGAGGAACCCCAGUGGCGAAGGCGGCCUGCUGGACAGAAACUGACGUUGAGGCUCGAAAGCGCGGGGAGCAAACAGGAUUAGAUACCCGAGUAGUC